CUUGGGUGGUCCUGUGCCAGGAGAACACACUCGUGGGGAUGGAAGGAUGAGACACUGGCACAGGCUGCUUGGGAGGAGGGGCAGCAACAUGGUCCCUCUGAAGGCCCAGGAGAGCAGGGUUCCUGCAAAGCCCCCUGGGAACCACCCCCGCCUUUCCCUAAGCCGAGCCACCAGAUUGCACCCGGCGGCUGUCCCUCCCCCAGACCACGGGCUGGUGCAUUUUUCCCAGCUGAGAGCACUUCACAAAUAUUGACAUGGAGAUGAUGACCAGGCAGGACGUGGUGGCAAGGGGACGCCCCCGCAGCCGGCAAGGAGGGACAUGCCACACAAAGACCCUGUGUCUGUCAUCUGUCCACCGAGCAUCUGUCUGUCCUUGAAGCCUAAGGAGCGAGCUCCCUGCAGAAGAAUUCCUCUGAGUAAACAGCCAGCCUGGACUCAGCACUUCUGGCCGUUCCACACCAGCAGUACCCAAAGCAGCAGCCCACGUGACCACUGGUCAACCCACAGGGAUGUAGAAGGCCAGGCAGAAAGUGUUCACAGCCGUGUGGAGUCCCUGGUCCCAGUCCUACAAGUUCACUCCAGGCCCAAGCCUCCCCUUCUGGUCUGUAUCCCAAGGAUCAGAGACCCAGAAGGGUCAAACAAGAGACCAUACCUGGCUCAGGUCCAGGGUGACGUUGACCUCAUUGUACUCCAGGCCACGGGACAGUGGUGGACUCUGCCACCAUCGCUCUGUGCCAUCGAUGGCGUUGCUCACGGGGUGUGCCUUGUUGCUGUUUACUGACGUGCAGAUGUCACAGUACUGACCCUGUGAGGGAGGGGAGGGUCAGAUGGCUGAUGGCUGGGGCCCUAUGGCCCUUCCAGACACCCUCCCAAACCCCCAAGGGCAUCCCUCCAUUAUUCCACAAAUACACAGAAAACUCCUCUGGCCUC